rnacentral:lncRNA from 1 species
AUUCACUUCCAAGAGCUGGAAAGAAAAUCAACUUUUUUUUUUUUUUUUUAAAAAAAAAGCCAACUGAUCUUGCUUGAAAUGCUUUUGGAUUUAGUAUCCAGGGUAUAACCUGGACAGAUAUCAUCUCCUUUCUCCCGGCAUCACAUAGCAGCUUCUUUAUUUUAGCCCGCUACAAUGGCAGAGAACACAAAGACAUUUCCCCAUCUAUUACCUGAUUUUUUUCUCCUGCCUGUUUCUCUGACAAGGCACUGCUGGAGAGGAGCAGGAAGGCUUAUGGGAGGCUCACACUGAAAUUUGGGGCUCCUUAAAUUAUUGAGAUCUGUGCUCUUGGCUCACUCAAAGGCUCAAGCUAAGGAAUGGAAAUCAUGGAUUUGUAGAACAUUCAGAGCUGGAAGGGACCCACAGGGCUCACUGAGUCCAACCCCUGGCUCCACACAGGCCACCCAAAACUCAGACACUACAUCUGAGAGGUGUCCAAAUGCUCCUUAAACUACAGCAGGUCAGGGCUGUGCCCACUGUCCUGGGAGCUAUUCCAUGCCCACCACCCUCUGGGACAGAGCCUUUUCCUUAUAUUCAACCUGAGAUGUACAUGGCUUGGCAUGUUGUCGUUCCUAUGUGUCCUCUGUAUGGAUGUGCCAUGGGUGUCUGGUUGUCUCUGGAUACAUUUCAUGCUCAUCUCAUCUCUCCAGCUCCUCCCAGUGCUAUUGUGCUUUCAGACCCUCCUGGAAGACCCAGCUUUCAAGGACCUCUGUUUCCCACCAAAGAUCUGCUAAGGGCUUACGUUGGCUCUGCAUACAGGAACUGGCACUGCCCCCCAGGGUGGUCUGUCCAUUGGGCCCCCUAACCUGCAAGGGCACACUGAGUGCUCCGAAGUCUCCAUCAGUGAUGCUGUAAGUGUUGCAGUGAUCGUCCACCCUGAUUGCUGCACUUCCAAGUGUUGAGGAACUGAAGACCCACAAGUGGAAGCAACUCUCUGACCUGUUGGAUCAUCUCCGCACCAUGCAGUGCAGUUUGAGCACGUGGGACAUGCUCCAGGGCUCUUGUGCCAAGAAGUAAAGCAGACGGCCCACCUGACAUACUAUCUGUUCAGCACGAGCUAAUUAGAAUAUGAAGCAUGGAGCAAAACCUGAGGUCAGCCUUGUUAAACCACACAGAGCAGAGAAAUGUAUCGCUGUAAGCCAAGCAGAUCAAAGAAAGGCGAGGACACAAGAGACAGCUGAUGAGGGGAAAAACACAGCAUUGUGCUGGUGGGGAAAUUCUUCAGCCUUCACAUCUGAAAGAGGCUUUGCUUCGCUGGACAGCAAGCGCUGUCUGUUCACCAGGCUGAACAUCCUCUGCCUCCAAUAUAGAUGUCACCAGCUGCUUUGGGAUCACUCAGGCUCCUUGUAUGUUCCUUCUUGCUCCCUGAUGCAGCCUUCCUGUAAAAGCUACCAUCGUCCUCUUUGGAAUUUCCUUCCCACAAAAGCUUUAGGAGAGAAUUUUGUAGGAGUGACUCAAGUGUGGAGCAAAGAUGAGCUUUGACGUAGGUGAAAGUGUGUGAUUGAAUCAAGUCUUCUGAGUUCAAGAACCUCUUCUGGUGCAGGAGGGGAUCACGGCCACUGAAAGCUGGGCUUUUUUUACCCACAAACUCUGGUGAAGGGUUUUGCACUAUGGCAGGAGCAACGAGCACCAAUAAGGGAGAUACUCAUCCUGCUCUUGCAGGGACAAGCUUGAAGUUCUACCCACUGUCUCUCAGUGCCCAAGGGUUGUUUCAUGGAGCAUGGAAAGAUCUCAUUAUUUUGUCAGUAAAAAGUAUUUAUGGCUUUCUUCUUUAAAUAACUUUAGACACCAUCCCUGGAGGUGUUCCAGAGCCAUGGAGAUGUGGCAUUGAGGGACAUGGUCAGUGGGCAUGGUGGGAUGGGUUGGGCUUGAUCUUAGAAGACUUUUCCAACCUUAAUGAUUCUGUGGUCAGAAAAAAGAAAAGGGAAAGAAGGAAAAGAGAAGCAAAAAAGAAAAAGACACCCCGGAAUCUCCAACUUGCAUGGAUUUAUGAAGAGGUAAGGAAAGGCAUUUUCAAUGCCUAUGAAUUCUCACUGUGACCAUGCGGGUCCAUGGCUGUCCUUGUGCAUGAACAACACGGCGCAAUGAGUUAUUACCCAACUGAAAGACCUCAGCUCCACGCCGGAGGGGGCUUUUGUCUUUCCUUUCACGCCAGCUCCAGGAGCCUCU